GGAACAUGCAGAAAUAGUUUGUGUAGGGUUAGUUUCCCGUUUUAGGUGUUGGUCAAGAGCGGGGUCGGGCCAUACAUCAUAUCAUGGGACAUGAUUUCAAAUGCCUGACUUUUAAACAUUAUUGGAAAGAAUGAGGGUCUCACUCUUUCAUUCUUCAUCUGCUACAAAGGGACAGUGAACAGUGGGCAGAUCCAUACGCCCUAUUGCUCCAUCACAGAUUGAUCCAAAUGGGGCUCUAUUCAACUGCACUGGCCGCACAAUUGAUCCCGGCCUCUCUGCUGCGACUGCUCUGGGUGGUGCUAGUAGUCGCUGACUUCAAGGGCACUGGUCAUCAGCACUGACAUAAACAAAGCUGUGAGAGCACCAACACAUUUAUUCCUGGCACAGACACAAACAUACAUUGAAUGCACAGACAUUAAAUGGUGAAGCAAUGGAUCAAUAGCCAGCUUGUGUCCCUGACUUCAUGGAAGGCAGCAGAAAAGGACUGUUGAGUGGACGAUUACUGUGCCAAUCAGGAGCUGAGCAGGUGUACAUGUCGCCAUGUUGCCUGCUACCUCAUUAAAGUCUCAUCUUCAUAGCCUUUCACUCACGCCCAUCUGAAAUGUCACGACAUAAUCCACAAGACUUUAGACACCCACUACACACCCCUCCCCACAACACGCUAGCCGCACCAAAAUGCUCCGAUCAUCUGUCACCGGUGUACGAUGCGCCGCGCUGCUUGCUCGCUCUUCCAGAACACAGGUGUGAAUAUAAGCAGAGCAGAGCUGAAGCUUUCCUGUGAUACGGCUUUUCACGCUAUUGUCAUGCAUCAUCCCAGUGGAUGCACUUCACUUCUCCAACCAUGCUAAAUGUUUGACAGCUAAUACAAACUAACCAAGAUA